AACAGCUCAAAUUUGAAAUCUGGCUCCCUUGGGGGUCCGAGUUGUAAUUUGUAGAGGAUGCUUCGGGCAAGGCUGCGGUCUAAUUUGCUUGGAACAGCGAGUCACAGAGGGUGAGAGUCCCGUCUAGGACCGUGCGCCGCGUCCAUGUGAAGCUCCUUCGACGAGUCGAGUUGUUUGGGAAUGCAGCUCUAAAUGGGUGGUAAAUUUCAUCUAAAGCUAAAUAUUGGCCAGAGACCGAUAGCGCACAAGUAGAGUGAUCGAAAGAUGAAAAGCACUUUGAAAAGAGAGUUAAACAGUAUGUGAAAUUGUUGAAAGGGAAGCGCUUGCAACCAGACUUGCGUGUGACGGUUCCCUCCACCUCCUGGUGGGGCUACUCCGUCAUCUCCAGGCCAGCAUCGGUUUGGGUGGUCGGUCAAAGGUCCCGGGAAUGUAUCUACCUCCGGGUCGACUUAUAGCCCGGGGUGCAAUGCGGCCCACCCGGACCGAGGAACGCGCUUCGGCCCGGAUGCUGGCGUAAUGGUUGUAAGCGGCCCGUCUUGAAACACGGACCAAGGAGUCUAACAUCUAUGCGAGUGUUUGGGUGUUAAACCCCUACGCGGAAUGAAAGUGAACGGAGGUAAGAACCCCGUCCGGGGCGCAUUAUCGACCGAUCCUGAUGUCUUCGGAUGGAUUUGAGUAAGAGCAUAGCUGUUGGGACCCGAAAGGUACGUUGCCCCUUUUCCCCCAUCUUUUCCUUUUUUUGUUCUUGAUGUAUGCUAACUCGUGCUUGAUGACAGAUGGUGAACUAUGCCUGAAUAGGGUGAAGCCAGAGGAAACUCUGGUGGAGGCUCGCAGCGGUUCUGACGUGCAAAUCGAUCGUCAAAUUUGGGCAUAGGGGCGAAAGACCAAUCGAACCAUCCUUAUGGCAUGGGUCUACUGCAUGAUCGGUAGAUCUUCAGGCGCUGCCAGGUGGUUGAUAUCCUAACUCUCAGUUGGGCCAGUCUGAUACUUGGUAUUGGGCGACGUCGUCAGUCUUCGGGGAUGUCUUUACGGCUAUCCGAAGCCGUCCCCAUGUUGGGAUGGUUCACAGACUAGACAGUGACGGCCGGAGCCGCCUCACCGGGGACGGUGAUUAUAUAGUCGAGUAAAGUUAUUGGAUCUUGCGAGUGUUUUCACCACAACACUCGGCCGAUCAUGGCUUUUGAACGCUGGUAGCUGGUUCCUGUCGAAGUUUCCCUCAGGAUAGCAGUAACGUUUUCAGUUUUAUGAGGUAAAGCGAAUGAUUAGAGGCCUUGGGGUUGAAACAACCUUAACCUAUUCUCAAACUUUAAAUAUGUAAGAAGUCCUUGUUACUUAAUUGAAC
rnacentral:rRNA from 1 species